GGUCAAGCUACUAAGGGCUGGCGGUGAAUGCCUUGGCGCCAAGGGCCGAAGAAGGGCGUGGCAAGACUGCGAAAAGCCUCGGUGAGCCGUCUAGCUGGCGUAACCGGGGAUUCCCGAAUGAGGAAACUAAACCCGAUAAAGUCGGGUUACUCCUGGCCUAACCCUUAAGCCAGGAGGGGUAAGCAGGGGAACUGAAACAUCUAAGUACCCUGAGGAAAAUAAAUCAACCGAGAUUCCCUUAGUAGUGGCGAACGAACGGGGAUCAGCCCAAACCUGAGAGGCUUCACGGCCUGGGGGCCCAUGUCUUUCAGGGGUUGUAAGGUGCAUCUGUCUUCGACCCCAGUCGGGACAAGGAGUAAGAAACCUACUCUCUAGUCGAAGGUCCCUGGAAAGGGCCGUCGUAGAAGGUGAUAGCCCUGUAGGCGAAAGAGAGCAGGCUCCUGAUGUAUUCUUGAGUACCGCGGGACACGUGGAAUCCUGUGGGAAGCUGGGGGGACCACCCUCCAAGGCUAAAUACCCUUGGCGACCGAUAGUGAACAAGUACCGUGAGGGAAAGGUGAAAAGUACCCCGGAAGGGGAGUGAAAUAGACCUGAAACCGCAAGCCUACAAACCGUCGGAGUCCCGACUUGUUCGGGGUGACGGCGUGCCUAUUGAAGAAUGAGCCGGCGAGUUACUUAGGCGUAGCAAGGUUAAUCUCGUGGCCGAGAGGAGCCGUAGCGAAAGCGAGUCCUAAUAGGGCAGCAGUUGCGUCUAGUAGACCCGAAACCGGGUGAGCUACCCAUGGCCAGAGUGAAGCUCCGAUAAUCUCGGAGUGAAGGCUCGAACCCGUUUCUGGUACAAAAGGAUGGGAUGAGCUGUGGGUAGAGGUGAAAUGCCAAACGAACCCGGAGAUAGCUGGUUCUCCCCGAAAUGCAUUUAGGUGCAGCCUUGAAGAUGACUUGAGGAGGUAGGGCUCUGGAUGGGAUAGGGGGCGUGAGCUUACCAAACCCAACCAAACCACAAAUGCUUCAAGAUCUUACUUCAGGAGUGAGACAGUGGGGGAUAAGCUCCAUUGUCGAGAGGGAAACAGCCCAGACCACCGGCUAAGGCCCCUAAGUACAAGCUUAGUGUGCAAGGAAGUGGAGUCGCUAAAACAGCCAGGAGGUUGGCUUAGAAGCAGCCAUCCUUUGAAGAGUGCGUAACAGCUCACUGGUCGAGGGACUCUGCACCGACAAUGUAACGGGGCUCAAGCUUGUCGCCGAAGCCGUGGUCCCAUUCCGAUUCGUCGGGGUGGGAGGUAGGGGAGCGUUCUGCGUGCAGCGAAGCUAUACUGUAAGGUGUUGUGGAGCGCGCAGAAGUGAGAAUGCCGGCAUGAGUAGCGUAUAUCCUGGUGAAAAUCCCGGACGCCGAAAGCCCAAGGUUUCCUACGCAACGUCUGUCGACGUAGGGUAAGUCGGUCCUAAGCCGUAGCCGCAAGGCGAAGGCGAUGGAUAGUAGGUCAAAAUUCCUACACCACCUGUUUCUCGUUUUAAAGCAAAGGGGGGACACGGAAAGGUAGGUGGAGCGCGCCCAUUGGACAUGGUGCGUCCUUCCCUGAAGGCCAUGCUGGAGCAGGCAAAUCCACUCCGGCGCUACGGCUGAGAGGGUGAGGAAACUCUAGGGUCUUCCCUGGGGGAUUCCACUGAGCCUAUACCGUCUAGAAAAGCCUCGUUGCUAUGGGAUUUAGGUGACCGUACCGCAAACCGACACUGGUGGGCAGGGAUAAACGUCCCGAGGCGGUCGAGAGAACCCUCGUUAAGGAAUUCGGCAAAAUGACCCCGUAACUUUGGAUUAAGGGGUUCCCAUGAGGUGACGUCCGUUCGCCGGAUGAAGCCUUUGUGGGACUCAGCAAAUUAGCCCAGGCGACUGUUUAACAAAAACACAGGUCUCUGCUAAGGGGUAACCCUAUGUAUAGGGGCUGACGCCUGCCCAGUGCCGGAAGGUUAAAGGGCGGGGUUAUUUCCUGAUUCGUCAGGAGAGAAGCUCCAAACCGAAGCCCCGGUGAACGGCGGCCGUAACUAUAACGGUCCUAAGGUAGCGAAGUCCCUUGUCGGGUAAUUUCCGACCCGCACGAAUGGCGUAACGACCUGGGCACUGUCUCAACGAGGGACUCGGCGAAAUUGCACUGCCCGUGAAGAUGCGGGCUACCCGCGACAGGACAAAAAGACCCCGUGGAGCUUUACUACAGCUUGGUAUUGGACUGGAGUCAUGGAUGUGUAGGAUAGGUGGGAGACUGUGAAGCCUCAACGCUAGUUGGGGUGGAGUCGUCCUUGAAAUACCACC
rnacentral:rRNA from 1 species